rnacentral:rRNA from 1 species
AACGAACGCUGGCGGCAUGCCUAACACAUGCAAGUCGAACGAGACCUUCGGGUCUAGUGGCGCACGGGUGCGUAACGCGUGGGAACCUGCCCUUAGGUUCGGAAUAACUCCCCGAAAGGGGUGCUAAUACCGGAUAAUGUCUUCGGACCAAAGAUUUAUCGCCUUUGGAUGGGCCCGCGUUGGAUUAGCUAGUUGGUAGGGUAAAAGCCUACCAAGGCGACGAUCCAUAGCUGGUCUGAGAGGAUGAUCAGCCACACUGGGACUGAGACACGGCCCAGACUCGUACGGGAGGCAGCAGUGGGGAAUAUUGGACAAUGGGCGAAAGCCUGAUACAGCAAUGCCGCGUGAGUGAUGAAGGCCUUAGGGUUGUAAAGCUCUUUUACCCGGGAUGAUAAUGACAGUACCGGGAGAAUAAGCGCCGGCUAACUCCGUG